AUGUUCAGCGAGUCCGGUUUUAUCCCAUGCUUUUUCAGACCCAGUCCAGCUGGCCUUGGUAAUAGAAUGUCGACCCACUGUUCCUUUUCUUGAAUAAUUUGCCUGAGUUCAACAUCCAGUCAAUGCUCGGUGAAGUAACAUCCACCUGAAUCUUCUCCUUUAUAACCACUGGGAAAGUCCUGAGCCUUUUCAGCGUCGUAGGAAUGUUGCGUAUUUCUGAUACGGUGUCUGACUGCUGCUCGGCGAGGUAGUAGUUCAAGCCAUAAAGCCGCGCUUACUCUUCCAAUCCUGAGAAGCUCACACUGGAGACCAUUUCUCUUAUCCUAUGGUAUUAUAAAAUCAGUUGCUUUUCUUUUUUUGAUAAAAAUGUAUUUUAUUAAUUCUUUGAGAGUGUCAUAUAUUAUAUUCCAAUAGUAUCCAUUUCCUUCCCUGUCUUCUCCUAG